rnacentral:lncRNA from 1 species
CAACAUCAUGCGUUGCAUCAUCGCGUUCAUCUCAUCCAAAACCGUCCCUUGACGGCGUUAUUCAACUCCGAACCUGGUGAGCUCCUCACCUUGCCUAGAUUGCUCAGUGCGAAGGUGACCGAUCUCAUCCUGAAUCUAACCCCAUUGGUCUUGCAGCAUGGAGUAGGACCCUGAAGCUUGAGUCGGUUCUUGCGGUUGCUGGUAAAAAGGCUCCUCGUUGCUCGGUGCACCUUCCAUAUGUUCAUCUGCGGGCAAAGAGUCAAGAAAAU